rnacentral:lncRNA from 1 species
GCCCCAUCGUCUUUUGGUUCGCUUGAGAACUGUAUCUCGAGCAUGCCUAGUCUUCUUUUUUUCAUCUGUCUCCAAGUCAAUAAGUAUUUUCUUUUCUACGUGUUCUUGAAGAUCUUUAAGUAAUAUGGUAAAAGUCCUUUUCUCAUCAGAUAAAGAAACAGCAGAUGUUGUAUACACGGAACCAUCUUCCAGAACUUUGAAACUCCCAUCACUGGAACUGAUGUGUUCUGCAGACUGAAGGCACUCAUUUAUAUUAACUCUGCCAACCAAUGUGUCGGCCUCGAGCACAGAGGGAACAUGAAAAGUGACUUUCUUGCAAGCGUCACAGCACAAGCUCAAUACCAGGAGACCGAGGACGAGGCGGGGGGCUGCGCGGGCCAUGCUGCGCGGCGGGGCAGCGGCGAGGAGUGCGUGUCCCGGCGGCGGGCCGUCUCCCUCUGUCCCCUCCCGUCUGCCCGAUGAGCCGGC